rnacentral:rRNA from 1 species
AGUAACGCGUGAGGAACCUGCCUUCCAGAGGGGGACAACAGUUGGAAACGACUGCUAAUACCGCAUGAUGCGUUGGAGCCGCAUGACUCCGACGUCAAAGAUUUAUCGCUGGAAGAUGGCCUCGCGUCUGAUUAGCUAGUUGGUGAGGUAACGGCCCACCAAGGCGACGAUCAGUAGCCGGACUGAGAGGUUGGCCCGGCCACAUUGGGACUGAGAUACGGCCCAGACUCCUACGGGAGGCAGCAG